GUUGUAUAGUUAAGUGACUAAGCGUACAAGGUGGAUGCCUUGGCAAUCAGAGGCGAAGAAGGACGUGCUAAUCUGCGAAAAGCUUGGAUGAGUCGAUAAGAGGCGCUUAAUCCAAGAUAUCCGAAUGGGGAAACCCAGUAGAUGAAGAAUCUACUAUCAACAAGUGAAUUCAUAGCUUGUUGAGGCAAACCGGGAGAACUGAAACAUCUAAGUACCCCGAGGAAAAGAAAUCAACCGAGAUUUCGUCAGUAGCGGCGAGCGAAAGCGAAAGAGCCAGUAAGUGAUAACAGUAUGGUUAGGAGAAUGUGUUGGGAAGCACAAUCAAAGAGGGUGAUAAUCCCGUAUCUAAAAACCAUAUUGUGGUACUAAGCUAACGAGAAGUAGGGCGGGACACGUGAUAUCCUGUUUGAAGAAGGGGGGACCAUCCUCCAAGGCUAAAUACUCCUGAUUGACCGAUAGUGAACCAGUACUGUGAAGGAAAGGCGAAAAGAACCCCGGUGAGGGGAGUGAAAUAGAACCUGAAACCUUGUACGUACAAGCAGUGGGAGCCCCAUCACUUAAUCCGAUUGGAAGGUGAUGAAAAGCAACCGCACUUAAACAAUGGUAAGAGGAGCGAAGCGAGUCAAACCACCCAAAAGAAGCAGUGGGAUUAAGUGAUGGGGUGACUGCGUACCUUUUGUAUAAUGGGUCAGCGACUUAUAUUUUGUAGCGAGGUUAACUGAAUAGGGGAGCCGAAGGGAAACCGAGUCUUAACUGGGCGAGUAGUUGCAAGGUAUAGACCCGAAACCCGGUGAUCUAGCCAUGGGCAGGUUGAAGGUUGGGUAACACUAACUGGAGGACCGAACCGACUAAUGUUGAAAAAUUAGCGGAUGACUUGUGGCUGGGGGUGAAAGGCCAAUCAAACCGGGAGAUAGCUGGUUCUCCCCGAAAUCUAUUUAGGUAGAGCCUUGAGGUGACACCUUUGGGGGUAGAGCACUGUUUCGGCUAGGGGGCCAUCCCGGCUUACCAACCCGAUGCAAACUACGAAUACCAAAGAGUGAUACUCAGGAGACACACGGCGGGUGCUAACGUCCGUCGUGGAGAGGGAAACAACCCAGACCGCCAGCUAAGGUCCCCAAGUCUAUAUUAAGUGGGAAACGAAGUGGGAAGGCUUAGACAGCUAGGAUGUUGGCUUAGAAGCAGCCAUCAUUUAAAGAAAGCGUAAUAGCUCACUAGUCGAGUCGGCCUGCGCGGAAGAUGUAACGGGGCUGAAAUAUAGCACCGAAGCUGCGGCAU
rnacentral:rRNA from 1 species